GGAUCUGUAGCUCAGUUGGUAGAGUAAGGGACUGAAAAUCCCUAUGUCGUAGGUUCGAAUCCUACUAGAUCAGCUA
rnacentral:tRNA from 1 species